rnacentral:rRNA from 1 species
GACGAACGCUGGCGGCGUGCUUAACACAUGCAAGUCGAACGGUGAAAGCGGAGCUUGCUCCGCUGGAUCAGUGGCGAACGGGUGAGUAACACGUGGGCAACCUGCCCCUCACUUCGGGAUAACUCCGGGGAACCGGGGCUACUACCGGAGAUGACCUCCUUGGGCAUCCUUGGAGGUGGAAAGUUUUUCGGUGAGGGAUGGGCCCGCGGCCUAUCAGCUUGUUGGUGAGGUAGUGGCUCACCAAGGCGACGACGGGUAGCCGGCCUGAGAGGGCGACCGGCCACACUGGGACUGAGACACGGCCCAGACUCCUACGGGAGGCAGCAGUGGGGAAUAUUGCGCAAUGGGCGAAAGCCUGACGCAGCAACGCCGCGUGCGGGAUGACGGCCUUCGGGUUGUAAACCGCUUUCAGCAGGGAAGAAGCCGCAAGGUGACGGUACCUGCAGAAGAAGCACCGGCUAACUACGUGCCAGCCGCCGCCGUAA